GCUCCAGUGGCCUAGUGGUUAGAGCGUCUAUCUCGGAUGCGGGAGGUAGUGGGUUCGAUCCCCGGUCGAGUCA